CGCCUAUGAUGUACUGUAUCACUAUGUAGAAGGAAUUUCGUAGUUGGGCGGAGGUGAGCAUCCAAAUUAUAUCCCAGUGACUCCAUCCUGCUCAAAAGAUCAAAUGCAUGAUCCCUUUUAUCCUCAGAACGAAGCAGCAACUUAAGUAGUAGGUUACAAAUUCGGGGCAUCAAAAUGUAACCUUUCUCAAUUGUGUAAAGAAACAUUUCCACUGCAAGGUCAAGAUUUCCUUCUCUGCAUAAUCCACGUAUUAACCACAACUUGGAGGGGUGACAACAACUUUGCACUCCUGAAGAAUGAAAAAUAUAUUUAAAGCCUCUUCCACUCUUCCUGCCUGGCACAGUCCAAUUAGCCAGAUGCUAU
rnacentral:misc_RNA from 1 species